CGGCACACUACAUCGUAUAAUCCAACAUGUAUCUCAUUGGUCGGAAAGCACCAAAGCUUUUCCUUAGUCGCAGUCAGCAGGCUUUAGAAUGGAUAACUGAGAGAAAACAGUAUAAGAUAAUCAUCAAUUGAAGGAGCUGUCGUGGGCGAGGUUGAGAUACCCGAGGUAGCGCCAGUUAUCGGGCCAAAGGAAGACUGGCCGGCAGCAGUGAUAGCAGCUACACCACUCCCACCAUUCUUUUUCUUCGUGCGCACCUCCUUUCGUUGCUUAUGGCUUUCAAGCAAUCACUCCGAAAACCCAUUCUUGUAAAAACAUGUGGCAUUUGUAUGACGGUUCCCAUUACAGUAAAUGCAAUGCAUGUUUUCUUUUUCCUCAAAGGUUGGACGGUGGAGAGAAA
rnacentral:lncRNA from 1 species